rnacentral:rRNA from 1 species
GAGUGAAGCGGCAACAGCUCAAAUUUGAAAUCUGGCGUAAGCCCGAGUUGUAAUUUGUAGAGGAUGCUUCUGGGUAGCGGCCGGUCUAAGUUCCUUGGAACAGGACGUCAUAGAGGGUGAGAAUCCCGUAUGUGACUGGCUUGCACCCUCCACGUAGCUCCUUCGACGAGUCGAGUUGUUUGGGAAUGCAGCUCUAAAUGGGAGGUAAAUUUCUUCUAAAGCUAAAUACCGGCCAGAGACCGAUAGCGCACAAGUAGAGUGAUCGAAAGAUGAAAAGCACUUUGGAAAGAGAGUUAAAAAGCACGUGAAAUUGUUGAAAGGGAAGCGCCCGCAACCAGACUUUGCGGCGGUGUUCGGCUGGUCUUCUGACCGGUUUACUCGCCGCCGUGAGGCCAUCAUCGUCUGGGACCGCUGGAUAAGACCUGAGGAAUGUAGCUCCCUUCGGGGUGUGUUAUAGCCUCUGGUGAUGCAGCGCGUCUCGGGCGAGGUCCGCGCUUCGGCAAGGAUGAUGGCGUAAUGGUUGUCGGCGGCCCGUCUUGAAACACGGACCAAGGAGUCUAACAUCUAUGCGAGUGUUCGGGUGUCAAACCCCUACGCGUAAUGAAAGUGAACGGAGGUGGGAACUUUUUGUGCACCAUCGACCGAUCCUGAUGUCCUCGGAUGGAUUUGAGUAAGAGCAUAGCUGUUGGGACCCGAAAGAUGGUGAACUAUGCCUGAAUAGGGUGAAGCCAGAGGAAACUCUGGUGGAGGCUCGCAGCGGUUCUGACGUGC